rnacentral:misc_RNA from 1 species
UGGUUCUCUAAUGCCCUUGUAACGGUAAGUUGCAAGGGCAUUAGAGAACCAUUUUACCACGUUACCCUUGCCUUUCCAACACGACAAUCAGUGACUGUGUUGAAUAAUGCAACGAUAACAAGCGGGUGAACAGCAGGUUCAACUUGUAUGCAAAUAACAACAAAUAUCCAUCCCAACCAAACCAACUAGCCAUGCAUCAUUUAGAAGCAUAGUAUAAAGGGACAAGCAAUAGCAAAAGGUUCGAAAAUGUUGCACCUAAUCACAAUAGAGUAAAUACUGUAUCGAUUCGCUUAACCAUCACCAUGAAAUAGUAGGUUAUUAAAUCA